AAAGAAAGUUCAGAUAGUUAGGCUUAUUAGUUAAUGGGCUAUGAGUGAUUAAUAUAUUAGGGAUAUACUACAGUAGGCAGACCGAGGUCCCACAGUUGACAGUAGAUGUCAGAGAGAUGCUUGAUGAAAACCUGCUCCAGAGUGUGCGCAGGACUUCAGACUGGGGUGAAGGUUCACCAUCCAACAGGACAACAACCCUAAACACACAGUCAAGACAACGCAGGAGGGGCUUCUGGGCAAGUCUCGUAAUGUCCUUGAGUGACCCAGCCAGAGCCCGGCCACUGCUCGGAGCCUGGUUGCUGUCUAGGUUUAUUCCUAGGUUCCUUCCUUCUAGGGAGUAUUUACUAGCCACUGUGCUUCUGCAUUGCUCUUUGGGGUUUUAGUCUCGGUACCUGCACCCUCAGCGGAGUCAACGAACACCGGAAGCAUCUGUUUUUCAGGGAAAAGGCAGAGAGGAAGCCAAAGCCUGAAAAUAACAAGCUUCUGGUGUUUCACACUAACUGACUUGUUCUUCUGAUGUUGUUCACACAGGAGACCAUAUUGAGACAUUCUCUACAUCCAGAGAGCAACAGCAGGAAGAUCAGAGCUAGGAGGUCUCACCACUGCCUACAUUGAGGAGAUUUUCCCAAUUCUAUCAAAGCUAAAAAUACACACAGGAGAGAAUCUGUAUCUCUGCUCUGACAGUUCAUAAUUCAACACUGGAGAGAAGGCCUACUCCUGUUCUGACUGCGAGAAUAUUUUCACUCAGCAGAGCAACUUAACACACCAACGUAUGUAUACACACAGGAGAGAAGCUUUACUCCUGCUCUGUUGGAAGAGUUUCUCUCAACAUGGCCACUUAAAAAGACACCAACAUACAUAAAUGUGAGAAACCUCAACAGUUCUCUGACUAGUGUAGAUUAAAAUAAUUCCUUCACUUAAUUAUCAAGAAGUUGUAACACUAUUUUAGUCGUAUUGUUUCUCACUUUGAGAGAACUGUGCAGAGGAAAGGGAGUGUUAUAGAAUGUUAGCCUCUCUUUUACUUUACUGAUCAGUAUGCACCUGGUCAGUUUUGGUGUGUUUUCUUAGCUUCUACUGUAAAGAUAUUUAGAGCACCUUAGAUUUGCCUUUAGGGUUGAAUAUCCUCUGUGAGGCUGGUUGACUGGGUGGUACUGCUUCCCUCUGCAGUUUUAUUUGAGAAUAAGCUGGUAGACACAACAUGUAUCAGAUAGAGAUGGUGUGAUGAUCAGUUUUCACCAUUAGUUUGGGUGGAUACUUUUUGUUUAUUAAAUUGUAUUUUAAAACUA